UCCUCUCUGCUUGGCGGCUCUGCAGGCCU
rnacentral:sRNA from 1 species